rnacentral:rRNA from 1 species
AUUGAACGCUGGCGGCAUGCCUUACACAUGCAAGUCGAACGGCAGCACGGGAGCAAUCCUGGUGGCGAGUGGCGAACGGGUGAGUAAUAUAUCGGAACGUGCCCAGUCGUGGGGGAUAACGCAGCGAAAGCUGUGCUAAUACCGCAUACGAUCUAUGGAUGAAAGCGGGGGAUCGCAAGACCUCGCGCGAUUGGAGCGGCCGAUAUCAGAUUAGCUAGUUGGUGGGGUAAAGGCCCACCAAGGCGACGAUCUGUAGCUGGUCUGAGAGGACGACCAGCCACACUGGAACUGAGACACGGUCCAGACUCCUACGGGAGGCAGCAGUGGGGAAUUUUGGACAAUGGGCGCAAGCCUGAUCCAGCAAUGCCGCGUGCAGGAUGAAGGCCUUCGGGUUGUAAACUGCUUUUGUACGGAGCGAAACGGCCUGCCCUAAUACGGUGGGCUAAUGACGGUACCGUAAGAAUAAGCACCGGCUAACUACGUGCCAGCCGCCGCCGUAA